rnacentral:rRNA from 1 species
AUUGAACGCUGGCGGCAUGCCUUACACAUGCAAGUCGAACGGCAGCACGGGGGCAACCCUGGUGGCGAGUGGCGAACGGGUGAGUAAUACAUCGGAACGUGCCCAGUAGUGGGGGAUAGCCCGGCGAAAGCCGGAUUAAUACCGCAUACGACCUACGGGUGAAAGCGGGGGAUCGCAAGACCUCGCGCUAUUGGAGCGGCCGAUGGCAGAUUAGCUUGUUGGUGGGGUAAAGGCCCACCAAGGCGACGAUCUGUAGCUGGUCUGAGAGGACGACCAGCCACACUGGGACUGAGACACGGCCCAGACUCCUACGGGAGGCAGCAGUGGGGAAUUUUGGACAAUGGGCGCAAGCCUGAUCCAGCCAUGCCGCGUGCGGGAAGAAGGCCUUCGGGUUGUAAACCGCUUUUGUCAGGGAAGAAAAGCUCCGGGCCAAUACCUCGGAGUCAUGACGGUACCUGAAGAAUAAGCACCGGCUAACUACGUGCCAGCAGCCGCGGUAAUACGUAGGGUGCAAGCGUUAAUCGGAAUUACUGGGCGUAAAGCGUGCGCAGGCGGCUUUGCAAGACAGAUGUGAAAUCCCCGGGCUUAACCUGGGAACUGCAUUUGUGACUGCAUGGCUGGAGUGCGGCAGAGGGGGAUGGAAUUCCGC